UACGUAGGGGGCAAGCGUUGUCCGGAUUCAUUGGGCGUAAAGAGCGUGUAGGCGGCCAGGUAGGUCGGUUGUGAAAACUGGAGGCUCAACCUUCAGAGGUCGACGGAAACCGCGUGGCUAGAGUCCGGAAGAGGAGAGUGGAAUUCCUGGUGUAGCGGUGAAAUGCGCAGAUAUCAGGAAGAACACCAAUGGCGAAGGCAGCUCUCUGGGACGGUACUGACGCUGAGACGCGAAAGCGUGGGGAGCGAACAGG
rnacentral:rRNA from 1 species